AUACUUACCUGGCAGGGGACAUACCAUGAUCACUAAGGUGGUUCUCCCAGGGUGAGGUUUCACCUAUUGCACUCCAGGUGUGCUGACCCCUGCAUUUUCCCCUAAUGCGGGAAACUCGACUGCAUAUUUUGUGGAGGCGUUCGUGCUUUC